rnacentral:RNase_P_RNA from 1 species
GUAAGACAGGUGAUCGCGGCUGCAGAAAUCGAAAGACUGCAGGUGAGGAAAGUCCGGGCUUCACAGGGCAGGAUGCCGGAUAACGUCCGGUGGAGGCGACUCCAAGGAUAGUGCAACAGAAAUAUACCGCCGUCUUUGAGACGGUAAGGUUGGAAGGGUAAGUGUAAGAGACUACCGCCCGGCCGGUAACAGCCGGGGCAUAUGUAAACCCCAUCCGAAGCAAGACCGAAACAAAGCGCUGACGUGGCCCGCCAGCUUUAGGUAGGUUGCUGAAAGCAGCUGGCAACAGCUGUUUUAGAUAGAUGAUCACCCACGACAUAACCCGGCUUAUCGUUUUGCUU